GCUUUUAAAGCUGUUUAAUAUUGUAUAGUGUCAGCAGGGGUUCAGGAGAGGCGCAGCAUGCUUCCAAAAUAUACACAAUGUAUGCAGGGGGGGAAUUUCAAAAUGAAACAGGUUUGUAUAUUUAAAAAAAAAUACACGGAGGAAAAAAUAUUAUCUCAUAAAAAGAAGACUUUUUGCCCGUAAAAAUGAUAUUUAUAAUAAGCUUUACUACCCUCUAAGUAUGAGUGUGGCAGAGUUCAAUAUUGCACAGGUACUUUUUUAAAAUCAUGUACAGGUCACUUUGGCAAUGACUCCCUUCUGCUGAAUAGAUAAAUUAUACAGGAUGUUGACAAUCCACAUUGGUGGUAACGUACAUUAACCCUGACCCCAGGCAAGUUUAAUGUACACAUUGACUUCUUAGGAACACCAUUUUUUAAUUCCACAAAUGUAUUUUGCUUUGUGAGCAAGAAUUUUUUUUUCCUACUGACUCUACCCCUCCCACCGUAGGAAACACCAAAACUUCUUGGGACAAAAUAGCUCAACUAUCAGCAAGAUUGUUUAAAGCACAUUGCUUUACAUCAAUGGCACAAAGUCUGCCUAACACAAUAAUAAAUAAAAACAAGAGUUCAUUACGCUGGCUAUACAAAAAUGCAGAUCAUUUGGCAAACACAGGCUGGUUUCAGAUGUGCAAUUCUGGAUCCCUAGUGAGAAUGCUCAUUUCCACUUGUAUGUUCAAUGCUUUAGGGCCCAAACCUGCCAUUGUUAGUUCUGGGUACCACAACUCCUACUCGAGUCAAUGGUAGUCGAGCCAUUCAGCACCUCAAAGAAAUGAACGCUUGGUAUACUGAGUGCUCCUCAGAGCUUCUGAACACCCUCAACUAACACUGAAGUCAAUGUGAGUUGAUGGCAGUCAGCACCUCACAAGAAGUGCUCAACACAUUGCAGGGUCAAGCCCAUAUUGAGCAGAGCUAGAGAGAUACACCUCUACCUUGAUAUAACGCUGUCCUCAGGAGCCAAAAAAUCUUACUGCGUUGUAGGUGAAACCACGUUAUAUCAAAAUUGCUUUGAUCCACCGGCGUGCACAGCCCCACCCUCCCCAAAGCACUGCUUUACUGCGUUAUAUCCAAAUUCGUGUUCUAUCGGGUAGCGUUAUAUUGGGGUAGAGGUGUAUAUUCUUUUUUUCAAAUCGGUUUCACACUAGUGAUGGGAGAAGUUCAAAAGCGUCAAAGAUUCUAUUCAAUCCCGAUAAGCAGCUAAUGGUUUAUUUGAACCUGUGAUCUAAAAAUAGGUCAGGAUACCAUGGAAGAUGUACCUUUUGCAAGGCUUUGUGAUUUUUGGACUGGGUCUGAAAUACAACGCCAACAAGCUCUGUGGGAACAGUGCACCAUUUCAACCAGAACCAGCAGGGGGAAGGGUUAAAAAA
rnacentral:lncRNA from 1 species